GAACAUAUAAUUUUAUAUUUGCAUCAUGAAUUAGGUCCUUUCCAGUUCUCUCAUAUACAUCCCCCAAGUCAUCAUCAGUUCAGAAAUAAUUUGGUUCUUAGCAGCUGACAACUGCUGUAUUCUAGUAAAGAUUUCUGAAUGAGGUACGUCCAAAGAUUGCAAUCAAACUGUGAGGAUGGGACAUCAUGUUUGCUUUUAAUCCAUUCUCUGUGUUAGUUAGUUCUCUGUAACAGUGCCAAAAUCCCAAGAUGAACAAUGUAAAGGACCAAAGAUUUAUUCUGGCUUGUUUCAGAGGUUUUGGUCCAGGGUCACUUGGGACUGUGUCUUGGGGUCUGUGAUAGGGAAAACAUCAUGGUUGGGGGCAUGCAAGGUAAGAAGUCUGCUCACCGCAUGGCAGCAUGGAAAUCUAGAGGAAGGGGCUAGAGUCCAAUAGUCCCUCCAAGGGUACAGCCCCAACCAUCUAACUUCCUUCCCAUACUCUUCACUUACUGAAGUUUCUACAUCUUCCCAGUAGAGUUGACAUGAAGGACAGCCAUUGGAGCAUUACAUAUUUAAAUUAUAGCACCCUCUACUACACUUUAAACUAGACAGCACCCCCAACACCUGCUCAACAUUUUAUUACUACAGAUAUUCAUGUAAUGUUCCAGUGCUCCUUCAGCCGUCUCUGUUCUCCUCCAAUGUGCGCUCUGUUCUUCUCUGGUAUGGAUCAAGCUGAGCAUGCAACAGCAGAAGCAGUUCCACCAGCCCAUUUGUGUGACAUGAGCCUCAACUAGUAAGGACAUAAAAGGUGAAAACGGAAGUUCACAAACUGCCAGCGUACUAAACCGUCUGGGGCACAAGGUCAUCAAUCUCCCUCUAGUUGUAAGUAAAGUAGUUGUCUUCCUUCAGGACAGAAUUCCAAAGAGAAGGAAUAUAUAUGUACCAUACAAACAUACCUGAUUUUUCUGGAAGAUAACUAUCCAUAUCAUACAUACAUGAUAGUACAUGCCUGUAAUCCCAGCACUGGGGAGGCUGAUACAGGAGGAUUGUGAGUUGCAGGCUAGCUCUGCCUACAUAAUGAGUUAAAGACCAGCCUAGUAUACAUGGUGAGACUCAGUCUCAAAAAUAAAUCAUCAGGGAACACAUGAAAACAUGAGGUUUGUAUAGACUAUGGCACAAAUCUCAAGAGAAGCAAGGCCUGGGAUCUUUUGUCCUGGUCCUGAGAUAGCCCAGCCCAUGUGAAGAAAGGACUAGCUAGCAUAACAUGGUAUUUUAUUUCACUAUCGUAGACUGCUAGGAACUCUCUGGAGGCCCCAGCAGCUGCGUCUUGUCUUUAAUAUGAAGCCUGGGGUGGGGGUGGGGGGGCCGGGGAGACUCAUAAUUCAAAAGAGGCACAGCCCUGAGAAAGCCACUCUGCAUAUCUGAACCAGACAUGGGUGGUGGGGAGGAGGGGUGCUCUUCUAGUCCUAAGUCAAGAAUGCUUUCUGUCUUCCCUCUUCUCUUUAUCGGCUGUCCUUGUGAAAAGAUCAUUUAUGGAUAGUAGAUGAGGACAGCGGAGCCAGCUUCAAUCUCCCUCUUUUCUUUCCCAGCUGUUGCUGCCGUGUAAAAAGACCCUUUGUUAAAGACUGAAACAGCAGACGCGGCUUGGAUAAUAGCUUAAAUCAUUGGGUGUGUGUGUGUGUGUGUGUGUGUGUGUGUGUGUGUGUGUUUCAUCUUGAACUAGUGUAAGCACUAUUUUUGUUUUGAAAGUUCUGCUGCUUAUUCAAAUAUUUCUAAAAAAAGAAAACUUUGAUAGACUUUUGUGGUAAAGAAGUGUGCUAUAUGAUCUCUUGACGGCAACGCAGCCCAUGGAAAGCACUGAUGAUGUUGACGGAGUGUAACAGGUACACUGUGUGCUGGGACUUGGUGCAUACCUUUGUAAUUCUCACAGAAUCCUGUGAAGUACAAUCCAUUAUCAAGGGAAAUCAAAUGCAAGAACUCAAGGAAUGAACCUGGAGGGAAGAACAGAAACAGAGACCAUGGAGGAGUGUUGCUUACUGGCUUGCUCAGAUAGCUUUGUUAUUAGAGCUCAGGCCUGGAGUAUGGCAUUGCCAAUGAUGGACUGGGCCCUCUCACUUCAUUCAUUAAUCAAGAAUAUGCCUCAUAGAUAUGUACACAGGCCAAUUUGAUGGAGGCAGCUCCUCAAUUGAGAUUCCCUCUUCCCAGCUUUGACUUUAUAGUGUGGCUCCCUGCCUCUCUAGUGGUGUCAGAACAGCUGCCAUGCCUUGGGUUGCCCAGAACGAUGAUGAUUUGGUGUUCUGGAGGUGUGGACAAGAUAAAAAGAGGUGACAUCUCUGCUUGAGAACCUGCUGUCGGGGCUGCUUCACUGUGCUGAGAUCUAGAGACAGAAGAGCUCCAGUCCUUUUGGUGAACCUGACUUGCCUCCAAACAGGUGCACGUUGCAAGCAGGAGCCUUCCUUCCAUUUCUUUCUAAACUGUUCCCCCAACUGCUGUGGGAUGGUCUGUAUGUCAAGUGUGUUGCUGAUUGGUCAAUAAAUAAAUCACUGAUUGGCCCGUGGCCAGGCAGGAAGUAUAGGCGGGACAAGGAGGAGAAUAGAGCUGGGAAGUGGAAGGCUGAGAGAGAGACACUGCCAGCCGCCAUGAUGACAAGCUGCAUGUGAAGUACCGGUAAGCCACGAGCCAUGUGGCAAGGUAUAGAUUAAUGGAAAUGGAUUAAUUUAAGCUGUAAGAACAGUUAACAAGAAGCCUGCCACGGCCAUACAGUUUGAAACCAAUAUAAGUGUCUGUGUUUACUUGAUCGGGUUUGAGCGGCUUGGGACUGGCGGGUGAGAGAGAUUUGUCCUGACUGUGGGCUAGGCAGGAAAACAUUAGCAACAAAUGGCGUCCAACGUGGUGGCAAGAGUUUCCACCUAAAAACUGAGAAAAGAGAUUCUAAAACGGAGCUAAAAACAGCUUCCUAAUUGUCUCUCUCAAAUGAGCGGCAGCUGCCGGUUUGAGCUACUGGCGGGUUCCUAGCGUGCGUGCUGGACCUGCUGUAUGGCGGGAAUGAGGCCUCUGCAAGUGGCACAUUAAACUGUGUGGUGGAUUUAGCCUUUGCUAGUACAAAACACAAAAAAAGAGGUUUCUGGGCUACACGCUGCUUGGAUAAAAGCAUAGACCCACGAUAGCUCCCAGAGCUGGUGGUAAAGUACCAUGCCAUGUUGGAAAGCUGCGGUGGGUGGAGCCAGCAGCCACAGCUGCUGCAGCUUAAAGCAAUAGAUUCACAAUAAGACAGAUUCAGAUGUAAUAGUUUAAAAUGUGUGUAAAAUAUACGUAGGCUUGAAAGAGACAAAAAAGGUGAUAUAUACAGUAUAGAAACAAAUACAUGGUUUUAAAAAAUAAAGUCUUUAAAGAGACAGUAAAAUUAAUAUAAAAAAUAAGCCACGUAGAGAUGACUAUUACACAGAGAGUCUGGAUUGUGUUGUCUUUGGGAUUCUUAACUACAGAGAGAUAUUUGAUUGUAAAGGAAGCUGAGUUAAACCAGUAUGUAUAUUUUAAAGAUAAUUUGACUUCAAAAUUUGGAUGUAAGGAUAUGUUGCUUUGGAAAAGAGUCUCUUUUGUUUCCACAGAAAGCCAGAGGCUAUGGAUUUGCUCAAGAUUAAGACACAUCAGGUUUGACCAGCCAAGACCCCCUGAAAGGUCUCCGAUGACACCAUGGCCCAGAUGAUCCAACAUCCAAAACCAUUUCAAGACAACUGGCUCAGAUGAUACAGCCUCACGGACUACUCCAUGAUCCUAAAAUUUUCUUUGUUUCCCCAGAAGAUACAGCGCCCCCCUCCAGCAGGAAGUAGUAAGAGAAGCUACGCCCAAAUUCCCAAAUAUACCAAGCUGACUUCAAAGAUGUGUAAAGGUUAAAACCUUCCUUUUUAAGAAAAGAAAAGGGGAAGUGCUGUGGGAUGGUCUGUAUGUCAAGUGUGUUGCUGAUUGGUCAAUAAAUAAAUCACUGAUUGGCCCGUGGCCAGGCAGGAAGUAUAGGCGGGACAAGGAGGAGAAUAGAGCUGGGAAGUGGAAGGCUGAGAGAGAGACACUGCCAGCCGCCAUGAUGACAAGCUGCAUGUGAAGUACCGGUAAGCCACGAGCCAUGUGGCAAGGUAUAGAUUAAUGGAAAUGGAUUAAUUUAAGCUGUAAGAACAGUUAACAAGAAGCCUGCCACGGCCAUACAGUUUGAAACCAAUAUAAGUGUCUGUGUUUACUUGAUCGGGUUUGAGCGGCUUGGGACUGGCGGGUGAGAGAGAUUUGUCCUGACUGUGGGCUAGGCAGGAAAACAUUAGCAACACCCAACACUCCAUUCAGCUCAGCAAAGAGAAAAGGCUAUAGAAUCAGACUUUGCAGGCAUUAUAUUUAUUUAUGCAUAUGUACAUGUAUUUAUAUAUAUACACACAUAUAAAUACAAAACAGGGUCUCUCUGUGUAGCUCUGGCUAUCCUGGAACUCACUUUGUAGACCAGGCUGGCCAUAACUCAUGGAGAUCCACCUUCUCUGCCUCCCAAGUGCUGGGAUCAAAGGUGUGCACCACCAUGCCCUGCUACAUAAUAUUCUUUUGGUUACAGAAACAAUAUAAGCUCAUUGUCAAAACUACGAUGAUACAAAAAGAAAAACAGGAAAACUACAAUCUUACCAUAAUCUAGCACCUAGAUGAUAACAUUUUUGCCUGUCUUGAUUUCUAAUCACUGCUCUCAUUUUACCAGCUGGACAUCACUUUGAUUCUUUUCUCCUACCUGAGAAAUCCUGAAAAUACCUCCUCACAGACAAGCUGUAAGAAGGAAAGACAAUGCAUGAUUUCUACAAAUUGCUACUAAAGCAGUUGUCGAAUAAUAAAUGUAAAAUUAAAGUAAGUUCAUUAAAUGAUGCCAUUAAACAGUAUGGAAAGUGAACGGGUGUUGAGGGGCAGGCUAAAGAAUCUCAGCCGUGGUGGGUGGUGGUGGCUCAUGCCUUUAAUCCUAGAGGCAGGCAGAUCUCUGUGAGUUCAAGGCCAGCCUGGUCUACAGAAUAAGUUCCAGGACAGCCAGGGCUGUCACACAGAGAAACCCCGUCUCAACCUACCUACCCCAGCCCCCCCAAAAGAAUCUCAGUCAUCACCCCACACACAGUUUAAGCUCUGCUAUUUCUUUUAUUAGAACCUUGCCAAAUUUGGGUGGUGGUACCAGGAACUGAACUCAGGGACCUGCCCAUGCCAGCACUCUACCAAUGAGCUACACCCUCAUCCUAAGCAAACCUAGAGGGACAGAAAGCAGAUCAGGGUUAAGGGUGCACAUGAUGUGUGGUUCCAAAGGAGUACGAAGAAAUGUUGAAAUAAUCAGAUGCCUCUAUAUUCCAGCUCUGAUGAUAAGAACAUAGUUAUGUGUGCUGAUCAAAACUCAGAGAACUGUAUACCGCAAGGGCACAUUUUACUAUAGAUAAACCAUACUUCAAUAAACCUCACUUUCAACGGUGCCCUUUCCAGAGCUCUGAUCCUCACUGAUUUAGCAUCGGCCCUUUCAGUCCUCUCGGUUUCAUCGCUCCAUCUUAUCUCUGUUAGAUUCCCGGGGCAUUUCACCUUUCUGAUGCUAUUUUGAGUGCUUCUUUAGUUCUCCUGUAAAUUGUUAGACUGGAUUCUUUGUUCCCAGUUUCUCUACUUUGCUGCAUAUUUUAUUUCCCAUUUGAAUCGACACUCUGUUGAGCCAGGCUCAGCUGUGUCUAACAAACAGAAUCUCCGGCUGUUUGGCUUGCUCUUCUGGUGCCAGCAGAGGUCUUCUCAAGGCAGCUAAUUAUAGUGAGUGAGAUAAGAGAAAAGCCGACCCAGGGCCCUGUGUCCGGGGUUAAACAGAAGUGCUUUAAGAUCUAGGUUGUUUCUGCUUUGUCAGCAAGGAACUUGGAACAAUUUUUACGCUCAAAAAUAAACAUAACACAAGCCUCCAGUCGGACUUAUUAUAGCUGUGUUUGGUAGCUCCUUCUAAAGUGGGUUCAGCUAGUUGAGAAUGUAUGCUGGUCAUAGAUCCUGAAUUUUCUAGGGCAGUCUGGAUUUCAAAAAUUCCAUUCUCUAAAAGCCUCAUAUAAUAUAGUUAAAAUAGCCAGGUGAUGGUGGCACACCUCUUUAAUCCCAGCACUCAGGAGGCAGAAGUAGGUAGAUCUCUGUGAGUUAGAGGCCAGCCUGGUCUACAGUGUGAGAUUCCGGACAGCCAGGGCUACACAGAGAAACCGUCUUGAAAAACCAAAUAUGCGUGCAUGCAUGUGUGUGUGUGUGUGUGUGUGUGUGUGUGUGUGUUUAUAUGUAUGCAUAUACACAUAUAUUAGUUAAAUGUAUUCACUUAUUGUUUACUUAUUUUUCCAUUCUGCAGUUAUUUACUGGCUAUCCACUAUGGUGUGUGAGCAGGCUCCCUAGUGGGCUGUGGAAAAUUUGAGAAAGUUGCACCUGAGACCUUAAUGUCAUUUAGACUAGAGGAUGGACAGGCUAACGAGUGCAUUCAGUUGCUUUACAUGGGUAAAGUCCCAAACAUUAGUAACUUGUAUGUCCCAUAAUAGACGGAGAAAAGGUUUAAAAUGUUAUGUCUGUGUGUGUUUAUUUUAAUACCACAGGUAAUACAAAUUUUUCUAACACUAAUGUUAGGCAGAUAUCAUUAGAUAGCUAUCUAUAAAAAUAUGUAGUACUGACAUACACCCAUUAUGUGUUAGAAAUAGUCCCAUGACUGGCACAAUACUACAAUGAUCGCUGAUAACAGCUGGCAUAUGAGCUCGGCCAAAUGCCAGGUGACUUGCCCACUCCCUUGCUAUUGCUCUGGGGACUCACCAGAGUGGGCUUUGUUCUACCCACUUUAGAGCCUGGAAGGAAAGUGGAUUCUAGAAGAGAUAGGUGAAGAGAAGUAGAGGCAGAGCUGGUCAUCACCAAGCAGUGACCUCUUCUUCAGGCCACACAGCUCUGCAUUGUUGACCUGUUUUUAACUGUAUCAGGUGUGCAUUUCUGUAACUCCCUGAAGCCCCAGGAGAGCAAAGUGAGAAAGGCAGAAGCGAUUAGGAUGCAGAGCGACCAUUGUAAUCCAACAGUUUUGCUGCAGCCAGAGCAAUCUGUUUCGAUGUCCAUGGGCCAUGUCUCUCACUACUUAGGACCAUUCUGGAGUUCCCAUCUACUUUAGACACACUAGCCCCUUCCUCAUGAGUUGCCCUCUUUGUGGAUUUCCUCACUCUGGAGUUAUCCAGCCAUACAGGAGUCUUCUUAUUCUUUUCUCUUUCUUAUUGCACACUCUUACACUGGAACUUUUAUCAGAGCAGUUAGUUUUGCUUGGAAGUCUCUAAACAGACCUAUUUUCUCCCCUAUUCCAUUAACUGUAUCUCUGACUCUCUAUACACAGAAGCCCUUCAGAAAGUCUGUCCUUGUUGACCAGUCCCAUUUACAUAUGUGUACAUCUAUACCCGCAUUGUCUCUUCAAGGAAGCUAUCCCUAGGCUGCAACCUACAGCUAGCUAGGUAGGAUCUGAUUCUGCGACACCGUCUCCUCCAGCAAGCAUUUCUAGAAGGGCAGGCAUUCUGCAGCUUUACUCACUAUUUUCCUAGUCUUCAGUUAUUCAGGCAAAGAAUAGGCACUCAAAAAUAAUUAUUGAGGGCUGGCAAAACUGGGAACACGGCCAUGAUGUAGAACCAUUUAAUCACUUCAAACUGUGGUGAUAAUGACACAGAUAUUCUCAGGCAGCUGAACAGUCUUUCAAAGGCCCUACAAAAAGCAGCACUAACAAGUUCAGCCAUGGCUCAGUGAUAGAACACCUGCUUAUCAGGCACAAGUCUAGAGGUUCCAUCCCUAGCACUGAAAAACUGAACUCUUGAGAAAAACAAACGCUUUAGAUCUGUCAUUUCUAACAUCCUCACAAGCUCAGGGUAACCCGUUCUACUUCCUCCAGGACUCUAAGCUUCUUCUCCCCUCUAGUUCUAUGCUUGUCUGAUGUUGAGUCUUUUCCUGCGGGUCCUGGGAAGGCAGGGUUUGCAUUUCCUUUCUUCACCACGUGAGCUGAGCACAGUGCCCACAAAGAAUGCCUUCCAUACAUUUUAGUUGACAAACAAGUGUGAGAU